rnacentral:rRNA from 1 species
AUUGAACGCUGGCGGCAUGCUUUACACAUGCAAGUCGAACGGUAACAGGCCGCAAGGUGCUGACGAGUGGCGAACGGGUGAGUAAUGCAUCGGAACGUGCCCAGUCGUGAGGGAUAACGCAGCGAAAGCUGCGCUAAUACCGCAUACGAUCUAUGGAUGAAAGCGGGGGACCGUAAGGCCUCGCGCGAUUGGAGCGGCCGAUGUCAGAGUAGGUAGUUGGUGGGGUAAAGGCUCACCAAGCCAACGAUCUGUAGCUGGUCUGAGCGGACGACCAGCCACACUGGGACGGAGACACGGCCCAGACUCCUACGGGAAGCAGCAGUGGGGAAUUUUGGACAAGGGGCGCAAGGCUGAUUCAGCAAUGCCGCGUGCAGGAAGAAGGCCUUCGGGUUGUAAACUGCUUUUGUACGGAACGAAACGGUCCUGGUUAAUACCUGGGGCUAAUGACGGUACCGUAAGAAUAAGCACCGGCUAACUACGUGCCAGCCGCCGCCGUAACAC